UACGGAGGGGGCUAGCGUUGUUCGGAAUUACUGGGCGUAAAGCGUGCGCAGGCGGUUAUGCAAGACAGAUGUGAAAUCCCCGGGCUCAACCUGGGAACUGCAUUUGUGACUGCAUGGCUAGAGUACGGUAGAGGGGGAUGGGAUUCCGCGUGUAGCAGUGAAAUGCGUAGAUAUGCGGAGGAACACCGAUGGCGAAGGCAAUCCCCUGGACCUGUACUGACGCUCAUGCACGAAAGCGUGGGGAGCAAACAGG
rnacentral:rRNA from 1 species